rnacentral:lncRNA from 1 species
AGACGAAAGACCAUAUAGGGCAGUAACGAAGAUUUGUUAAUUUGGUAUGGCGAGGAGUGAAUGAUUCUUGAAAAUAAAAGAAGUGGGAAAAACAACAUGAUGGCAAUCUUUUGGCUUGAAAUUGAUGACAUAAUGGAGAUGGUGAAUGAACUUUCAAUUUGAGAGAAAAGAAAAUCUCAAUGUUCGAAACAAUAGGGAUACAAUAUUUUUUGCU